rnacentral:rRNA from 1 species
AGGCCGAAAGGCGUAGUCGAUGGGAAACAGGUUAAUAUUCCUGUACUUGGUGUUACUGCGAAGGGGGGACGGAGAAGGCUAUGUUAGCCGGGCGACGGUUGUCCCGGUUUAAGCAUGUAGGCUGGUUAUCCAGGCAAAUCCGGAUAAUCAAGGCUGAGGUGUGAUGACGAGGCACUACGGUGCUGAAGUAACAAAUGCCCUGCUUCCAGGAAAAGCCUCUAAGCAUCAGGUAACAUUGAAUCGUACCCCAAACCGACACAGGUGGUCAGGUAGAGAAUACCAAGGCGCUUGAGAGAACUCGGGUGAAGGAACUAGGCAAAAUGGUGCCGUAACUUCGGGAGAAGGCACGCUGGUGUGUAGGUGAAGCCCCUGCGGGUGGAGCUGAGACCAGUCGAAGAUACCAGCUGGCUGCAACUGUUUAUUAAAAACACAGCACUGUGCAAACACGAAAGUGGACGUAUACGGUGUGACGCCUGCCCGGUGCCGGAAGGUUAAUUGAUGGG